UGUGUUAGUGGGAAGGUGAUUACCUGUCAGCCCGGCGUAA
rnacentral:misc_RNA from 1 species